rnacentral:rRNA from 1 species
GAUUAACGCUGGCGGCGUGCAUGAGACAUGCAAGUCGAACGGGUGACUCGGGCUUGCUCGAGUCACUAGUGGCGAACGGCUGAGUAACACGUAGGUGACCUGCCCCGAAGUGGGGAAUAACUGCCCGAAAGGGUGGCUAAUACCGCAUGUGGUCGCACGUUCGAUCGUGCGAGUAAAGCCGCAAGGCGCUUCGGGAGGGGCCUGCGUCCGAUUAGCUCGUUGGUGGGGUAAUGGCUCACCAAGGCGACGAUCGGUAGGUGGUCCGAGAGGACGAUCACCCAGACUGGGACUGAGACACGGCCCAGACUCCUACGGGAGGCAGCAGUCGGGAAUCUUGCACAAUGGAGGAAACUCUGAUGCAGCAACGCCGCGUGAGUGAUGAAGGUCUUCGGAUUGUAAAGCUCUGUCUUCAGGGACGAUAAUGACGGUACCUGAGGAGGAAGCCACGGCUAACUACGUGCCAGCCGCCGCAGUAA